CUGAAACAGCAGCCCUUUCAUCCUGGAACCCCUCUGGCCACAUCAAGGUCCUUGUCGGCACUUCUGGCCAUAUUUCAUUGUAUUCUUAGAAUUCAGCAGGAAAUGAUCAGGUCACGCGAUGAAACAAUCUUGAGCCAAGCAAAUCCCACUUUGAGUCGGUGUGUGAUGUGGAAAACAGUACUGUCAUGGACCAGGGCUUGCUGGCUGGUGUGCUCAUUAACUUUGUGGAGACAAAUCAUCUUUGCAGACAUCCUGAUUUGGAGGAAGAGCAGCAGCUGACUCAUCGCUGUGUGGGCAGACACGUGGGCUUCGCGUGCGGCACGAGGAGCACCUAACCUGAGUUCUUAAGCGAGAUUUGGGAGAGAGCAAACGUCCUAGAGCUUAACUACACUUUGGAAUCAUUUAAUAAACAUAAACUAAUUACAAAAAUGCCCGAGAGUGUACUUCAUCAGCUUGAGGCUCAGAUUUGGUCGUGGCUCUAUCCCGAGGCACACCUUGCUGGGCCUGCGGCACAUCAUCACGGAUGCGCAGAUUCCGAACCAUGCCGCCCGCCGAAGCCGAGCAGCUGGCUGGCGGCGUCUCUCUUGCUUGGUCCUGUUUCACAGGCAGAGACUGUUUCAGUGGUGCUCUUCCUUUUCCUUUCUUUAGGAUGCUAGACCGUCCCUCCUACACUCUUUUAUCUCUCACGUGUUCUUUUUCUAAAGCUUAUCCCCCUAGCAUAAAAAAAAAAAAAAAAAAAAAAACCACCUGGUUUGCAGACAGUACUUAUCAGAAGAUGCCCCAGUAUUGUGCCACAGUUAGGAUUUCCCUACGACCA